rnacentral:rRNA from 1 species
CGCGGUAUAGUGACCGUGCGAAGGUAGCAUAAUCAUUAGUCUUUUAAUUGAAGGCUUGUAUGAAUGGUUGGACGAAAAGUGAUCUGUCUCUGUUGAAAUAAUUGAAUUUAACUUUUGAGUGAGAAGGCUUAAAUGAUCUAGAGGGACGAUAAGACCCUAUAAAGUUUAACAUUAUAAUAACAAAAAGUUAAUUGGAAUUGUAAGAUUUAUUAUUGUGAAUAGUGUUUUGUUGGGGCGACAAGAAUAUAAAUAAUUUAACUGUUCUUUUUUGUAUCAAAGAUAUUUGAGUUAAUGAUCUUUUUAAGAGUAUUAGAGUAAAUUACUUUAGGGAUAACAGCGUAAUUUUUUUUGAGAGUUCUUAUCGACAAAAGAGUUUGCGACCUCGAUGUUGAAUUAAAGAUUCUUUAUAAUGCAGAAGUUAUAUAAG